rnacentral:rRNA from 1 species
AGCAGCCGCGGUAAUUCCAGCUCCAAUAGCGUAUAUUAAAGUUGUUGCAGUUAAAAAGCUCGUAGUUGAAUUUCGGGAUCAAUACGUCGGUCGUGCUUCGGUACGUACUGGCGUAAUUGAUUUCUCCCUUCUGACGAACCAUGAUGUCAUUAACUUGGUGUCAUGGGAAAUCAGGACUGUUACUUUGAAAAAAUUAGAGUGUUUAAAGCAGGCUAACGCUUGAAUACAUUAGCAUGGAAUAGUGAAAUAGGACGUUCGAUCCUAUUUUGUUGGUUUCUAGGAUUGACGUAAUGAUUAAUAGGGAUAGUUGGGGGCAUUAGUAUUCAAUUGUCAGAGGUGAAAUUCUUGGAUUUUAUUGAAGACUAACUACUGCGAAAAGCAUUUGCCAAGGAUGUUUUCAUUAAUCAAGAACGAAAGUUAGGGGAUCGAAGACGAUCAGAUACCGUCGUAGUCUUAACCAUAAACUAUGCCGACUAGGGAUCGGAUGAUGUUAAUUUUUAAUGACUCAUUCGGCGCCUUA